GCCCGCCCCGCCGGCCGAGUGCGCUCGUCGCCCGCCGCGCUCCGGGCGCUCGAGGAGGACGGCGCGGGGGAGGCGCGCGGCUGGGGGGAGCGCACGGGGGCCCGUGCUCCGGGUUCCCUGGGAGGCGCACGGGCCGGCCGGGCGCGGCGGGCGCGCCACCUCCUGGGGCACCAGGGGCGCUUCCGCGCUCGGUCAGGAAGGAGGCUCAGAAAGCGGCCGGGCGGGACGCUGCCCCCGUGCGCCGCCCCGUCCCCUUCGCGGGUUCCCUCCUCCGCCAGCCGGGCGGACGCCCCUCGGGCCCGCGCGCUCCGCUCCUUUGUUCGGGGGCCGUUCCGCACAGCGGCCGGGGCGGCGGGCGUCGAGACGGCCAGGGUCCGGGCGGCGGGGCGCCUGGCGGGGACAAUGAGGCCGUGCGGCCGCGCGCGCGGAGGGCUUCCUCCGGGUCCUCGCGGUGCCGGGGGCGAGCCCGGGGCUGGAAGGCAGGGGCCUCCCGGGUGCUCCCCGCGUGGUCCGGGAAGAGCGAGCGAGCGCCGGAGCCUCGGCUUCCUUUCCUGGGGAGCCAUCCCCGCCCCGCCCGGCCCCUGGGUUCAGGGGCUCCACUGUGACAAUGGACGGGAGCGCGCUUGGUCGUCAGCGGACAGUUACGGGAGCGCCAGGCGCACGCCCGUCCCCGCCCCGCCCGCUCACCUGGAGCUGUCAGGGGAAGAGGUGCUGAUUACUUCCUUGGGGAGAUGAGGCUCGCCAGCCUUACAGCAGUUAUUUCCUCAGGAUGUUUACGUCAGCUCCCCGAGCCUGGGAGGGGGCGCAGCCUGGGCCCCCACUCAGGGCCUGUGGACACCAAGGCAGGAGGGAGAAGGCUCCCCAGGCCUCAGCGUUUGCAUCUUGCCGACACAACAGGCCACUUUCUGGCCUCUCAGCUCUGUGUCUAGGAAUUUAGUAGCCUCCCGAUCGGGCCAACUGAGGGGUUUUUCCCAAACAACACGCUGGAGAUGGUGGAGGCAGAGCUGUGCCUGCAGGUGACUGCAGACGUUCAGUGAAUCACACGUCUUAGCCACAUGAAGGAUCAGCUACAGCUCUGAGCCGAGGAGUGCACAGGAAGCUGCCUGCCCUGAGGGGCCCAAGUGCCCUGCGGCUCAGGUCGCCCUCCACAGACCAGAAGGCCUCAGCAAACCUGCAGAGAUCAGCGUGGUCUUCUGAAGACAUCCGUGGAGUCGAAGGCCCUCCUGCGAGGCCAGGAGGGUGAUGAUUAUGGUGAAGAGAGAGGCCUCAAACUAUUUUGCACACAUCUUGCUUACUUUUGCAAAGUGAAUAGCUGGCAAAAGAAACUAAAAUCCUCAUGGGAACACCAGCGCACCCUGUGUCAACUCGUUGAACAUUCCCCGAGCACCUGCACGCUGUGUCACAGGCACAGCAGAACGUGCUGAUGACACAGAAGUGGACGAGGCAGAAGGCGCCUUCCCCUGGAACCCUGGUCACGUCCAAACCCGGCCACACAGCAGGCUGAGUGCCCAAAGAGGGUCCUGGGAACAUUUCCCAGUCGUGCUUCCCAAGAAUGAGGAGUGAGAAUUAACUGAGCCCAGUGCCUAGCGUGGAAUCAGCAUCGUGUCUAGUAGGAACUCGGGAGAACCCCCAAAAUGACAGAACCUUGAGGCCCAACAAAUCUUAGAUCCCCUGUUGUGCCCAAGGUCACUCAGCUGGUGACUGACCCGGUCUGUGAUCUUCCCCAGCCCCGAGUUCUUCCGUCUCUGAGCUAUGAUCCUCGGCUGGAAGCUGGAAGCAUUUCCAGCCCUGCUUCUCCGCGGGGCUGUGAGCAAAGACUCGAAAGCACUUUCCUUCUUGAUGUCCUGUUGUGUUGUCUUUGCAUUGUUAACCUGUAUGUGACAUGUAACACAUAGAGCACACAUUUUUAAGACUAUUUUAAUAAUAUGGGAAAUGCUCUCCUUAUGUUUAGUGAACAAAAAAGGAGAUAAGGAGAGUGUGUGUGUCACUAAACACUCAGUAAGCAUUAGAAAAAGCAAACGGAGAGGUUAGAAAGAAAUCAAAAUUUUAACUAUGGUUAUUCUUUAAGUGGUGGAAUCACAAUUUUAUUUUCAUUUUACUUUUCUGUAUGUUUCAAGUUCUGACCAGACCUUUUUCUCAAUUUUUAAAAAUAAUACGUGCUUAGGUUAAAAAUUAAUGCUAAAAGGCUUAAUAAAAUAAAAAGCACCCCAUCCUUGCUGUAGGUAGAGGAAAAAAAGCUAAAACUAGUCCCAGCACACAUCUUUAUUAAAUCUUCUGGAAUUAGAAGAGUAGAGAUGGAGAAAGUUUCAUAAAUUUUAUUAAAUGGGCCUUUAAAGUAGCUUGACUUCUAAAAUUUAAACAUGACUUAGUUAAUAAUCAGUAAUAACCAUUCCGCAAUAUCAGAAAGGAG
ensembl:lncRNA